rnacentral:tRNA from 1 species
GGAGAGAUGGCUCAGCAGUUAAGGGCACUGGAUGCUCUUCCAGAGGACCUAGGUUCAAUUCCCAGCCACUACA